GGGGCUGACAUGGAUUUGACAGCGGGACGAAGCGUUGUGUAAGCACGCAGAGAGUUGCUGGCCUCUCUCUAUAAUCUCUGACCUGCGAAGAUUUAAUUGGCGAAAACAACUACGCUCUCGCUGCCUAAUCGAAGUACAGUAGAUUACUGGCUUUAUCUCGGCACCAGGUGCUGAGACGAGACAUCGCUCAGAAGCUCUUGUUCCGAAGCGUCUGAUCAAGCGGUGCUGGAAAUUCGGGAAUAGUCACACGAGACGUCUCUAUCGCGUGAUGAAGAUUUAGAGAAUAAGGUACAAGUUGGUGGUCCAGGUCUUGCUUGUACUCGAAAACCAAGACUGGAAUAAGCGUGUAGAAAGCACAGGGUUUCCCUGUUUGGACGAGGGUUCAAUCCCCUCCAGCUCCACUU
rnacentral:tmRNA from 1 species